UACGUAGGGGGCAAGCGUUAUCCGGAUUUACUGGGUGUAAAGGGAGCGUAGGUGGCAGGGCAAGUCAGAUGUGAAAACCCGGGGCUCAACCCCGGGAGUGCAUUUGAAACUGUCGUUCUUGAGUACUGGAGAGGUUGACGGAAUUCCUAGUGUAGCGGUGAAAUGCGUAGAUAUUAGGAGGAACACCAGUGGCGAAGGCGGCCGCCUGGCCUGUUACUGACGCUGAGGCACGAAAGCGUGGGGAGCAAACAGG
rnacentral:rRNA from 1 species